GACGAACUGUGCAAACGUUAUUCGGAAUCACUGGGCUUAAAGGGUGCGUAGGCGGUCCAUUAAGUAGGGUGUGAAAGCCCCCGGCUCAACCGGGGAACUGCGCCCUAAACUAGCGGGCUUGAGUGAGGUAGGGGUGUGUGGAACUUCCAGUGGAGCGGUGAAAUGUGUUGAUAUUGGAAGGAACGCCGGUGGCGAAAGCGACACACUGGACCUUGUCUGACGCUGAGGCACGAAAGCCAGGGGAGCAAACGGG
rnacentral:rRNA from 1 species